ACUAAGGAGUUAACCUUAUAUAUAAGUAUUUAGGUGUUAAACCCCUAUAUGUAAUAAAAGUAAACGUAGGUAAGAGCUUUAGUGUAUUAUUAACCGAUCCUAAUAUUCUUAGAUGGAUUUAAGUAAGAGUAUAUAGGGUUAGACCUAAAAGAAGGUGAACUAUAUGUAUAUAGGGUGAAGCUAGAGGAAACUUUAGUAGAGGCUUAUAGCGGUUUUAAUAUAUAAAUCGAUUAUUAAAUAUACGUAUAGGGGCAAAAGACUAAUUAAACCUUUUAGUAGCUAGUUUCUAUUAAAGUUUCCCUUAGGAUAGCAGUAUUAAACUUAGUUUUAUAAGGUAAAGCGAAUAAUUAGGGACUUAGGGGCGCUAUAUUACCUUUAUCCAUUCUUAAACUUUAAAUAUAUAAGAAGCCCUUAUUACUUAAUUAAACGUAGGUAUUCAAAUGUAUUAACACUCGUGGGCCAUUUUUGGUAAGCAGAACUGGCGAUGCGGGAUGAACCGACUUUAUAACCCUUUAAUUCCUCUAGCUUGCUUUCUGUUACGGCCAGCCUUCUAAUAGUAAGGGGUCUAAUAGUAGAAGCUGAGGUUUAACCCUAAACUGAUUCUUACUAGUACGCUGCGUUAGU
rnacentral:ncRNA from 1 species